UAAAAGCGCCAGUGGGCAUAGGUGCGCAUAGUUGCGCGGAUUGCGACGUAGUUCCAAUUAAGGGAUUGAUUCCAACUUCUCUGUGAUACUUUAAGGACAUUUCUCGCAUGCUGCAUCUUUGAAACUCUCAAAAUAUACUUAUAUCAGUGAACUUAUUCUCACACAACGCACGAGUAAGACCUUUACGCACAGCCCACCAUGAAGAUAUUUCUACUCGUUGCAUUUUUUCUGGUUUUGGCAAAUGUCCUUAGUCAAGAAAUGCAUUUUGAUUACAACUGGAGAACAUUUACUGAAAAGAGCAUCCGGCCUCAGUCCGAACCAUAUUACGAAAUCCUAAAAAGAACGACUCGAAAACCUGGGUCACGACAAUACGUCCGUCUUAUGAGGAAUAGAGGCAUGCACUUUCGUUUUAUUGUAACAAUUUCAUAUUUUGAAAUAUUUCUGUACAUAGGUUAAUAGAUGCAUUUAUUUUGUUUCAUGCUCUUUUACAGCAAAAGCACAGAUAAGUCGAAGGCAAAGAUUUGAAUCUUUUGUUGGACUGAUGGGUAAAAGGAGCUCUAAGGAACCAGGUCCCUUCCGAUAUCCACAGGAGGUAACACUGCAUUGGAAGAAUACAUCUUUGUAGCGGAUACAAGGAAAAUGUUUGCAUAUAUUCGUGUGAUGUUCAGGCUGCAUGGGGUAUAUAUGUCAUCCAACAUAACGUUAAAAUUACCAGAGGUGUGAACAUUAUAUAGUAAAAGUAGGCUUGUAAUCUCUACGCCUGUGCAAAUUACCAGUACUUGCAACAUUUAUUUAGACAAUUAAAUUGAGCAAUAUACAUGUUACUGUGGUGUUCAUUGUAAAAUAUAUUAUUGCAAAUAUAAGCGGAUUAUGCGCAAACAUGCAUUCAGUGUGGCAAAACACUUCCAUAACACGUACAAUACGAAAUGAAGGUCGACAAGAGACCUCUGGUGGAUAAAUGUGUGUAGUAGGCAAAGCUAAAACAUGUUAACAAGUUUAAACUAUUUACCUUUCAUUGUAUAAUCCUAAGAUAAUGUGAAUUCUGAAAAUGCAAUAACAUCUCUUAGCAGAAUUAAUUGGAUUGCAAAUAUGUAUCAUCACAUGUUUAUUAAGUGACUUUGUACAAUACAAAUACAAAAUAAAAUUAAAAGAUACAGAUGGAGUACAUAGCCAAAGCAAAAUGUGGUGUUGACUUCCAUUUCCAGGCAGUUAGCCUAGUUUAGAGUAGGACCAGUAACCGAAAGAUCGCUGGUUCAAUUCCUAGCCAACAAGGUGAAAAAUCUGUCAAUGUGCCCAUGAACAAGGCACUCAACCCAAACUGCUCCUGUAAUAAACUCCGGGUAAGUGUCUGCUAAAUGACUAAAAUGUAAAUCUGAUCUCAUCUGGAGUUAGAGAAACAUUUUGUUUGCUCUUUGUACACCGACUACUGAAUUUGAAACAGUCAAUCAUCUUCAGAAACUGGUCCGAACAUCAGAAUUCUUUAACAUACAAAAAAGUAUUACUUUAGCUGGCUCGGUAUAUAUAAAAAUAAACUAACUGAAAUAUAACAUUUAUGAAGUUAUAAAUGGUGGUCCAAAGCUAGUGAAAAUUGCUAAA